rnacentral:misc_RNA from 1 species
UAAAAUGGUUCCACAUGGUAGAGGUAGAGGAAUAAGAAGAGUUCAGGAGGAUAAACCGGUCGGGUUGGUUCGAUCAAACCUACAGGAAGGAAGAGGACAAGAGGACGGACGACUGGUUGAUGAUCCACGGUUCCAUGAUGAUGUUCUCCGAAGUCCUCCAGGUGGGGAAGACUCCCCUAUCCCGCCCAAUUUCUCUACAGAUGAUCUGCUGCAGCUGCUGGAGGUGGGGCAGGAUAUGCGUAGAAUCACGAGGUCUAUCAAACACCUCUGCUCAACGGAACAAACCUUAAGAGAGGUCGUCGAUGAAAUUCAUGCAAGAAGCUCCCAAGAUCUCAGUUUUGGUAAAAAUGCUGCAAAAGCGUUCAGUCACGUAAGUCAGCUUGAGGUCUGUGGGAUAAAGUUCCGUGAUGUUGUUCUCCGGUGUAUCCAGAACGAUUUCAAGAAUAGAGCGGAGCUAAGAGAGGGAGGAGAAGAAGGUUAUCUGAGAGCAGUUAAUCUACUUUGUGAAGUGUUCCACAAUAUGCGGUUAGCAGAUGGAACAGUUAUAAAUAUCCUUUCAGUACCUAUUCUUGAAUAUUUUUCCUCUUUACUGGCAACCCCUACCCUAGAGGCAGUCUCGCUCAUUGCAACACAAACUCACAUAAUUGGGGAAGAAGUACAACGGAGUAAGCCGGAUAAGUUCCAGGAUUUCUUGCUCCGGAUCCGGAAGCUAAUUGUUGACCCGGAUAUACGGUUGGACGAGCAGGCUCGCUGCGGUCUACUUCAUGUACUAGAAUCCCACCUUCUCAGAUGGCCGAGUGUUCUACCAGAGAAGGUUGGGGACUUCUACUCUAGUAUUCUUGGGGAUAGGGUUCUUUACAGACCAAACCUGUUCCCCAUCCAACCUACUCAUACUAGACCCAACAGUCAGGAUGGGUCACAGGGAGAGGAAGAGUUCCAAGGGCAUAGACAUGAAGAUCAAGGGGUGAAAAGAAAUGAGCAUCUUGGAGACCCUAGAAGAAAUGAGUUUUCAGUAGGUAUGAGAAGAGAUGAUCAAACAGGAUUUGGAAUGGCGAGAGACAAUCAGAUGGGAGGAGGAAUGAGGAGAGAAGAACAUAUGGGAGGAGGUAUGAGGAGGGAGGACCAUGAAAUGAGAAGAAAUGGAUUAGAAGAAAAUCCAGGAAUGAGAAGGAUUGCCCAUGCUGAUCCUAUUCCCGGGACUACAAACUAUUACAGACCCACAAUGAACAAUGGACCUGCUCCAAGAAUAUUUGAUACUCCUCCCCCAAACAUGAUGCGAAACUUUGCUCCACCUCAGGGUGUCCUUCCACCUCAGCAGCAGUCCUGGAACCCUGCACUGCCAACAGGUCGAUCAAGGUUUUCGGAAAAUCCUCAGUUAAAUGGAGUUGAACGCAUUGCAGCAGACAUGAUGGCAAUUCAUAUGCCUUCUAUGUCACAGGUUUCACCACCGGUGAGAACAGGACGAAGCCAUGGUUGGCAAGCAAUGCCGCCUAUUCUUCCUCCCUCUGGUCCACCACCCAAUAUUCCUACAGCAAUUGUUCCACCUGGAGUACCACCUCACAACCGCCCAAUCAGUGGUUACCAGGAUCCAAGUUUAGGUAGAACUGCCUCUGGAAUAUGGAAUACAACCCCGGCAAAUCAUUCCCCCGCCAUCAACCCUCUCCCUACGAGGGAUGUAUUCCAGGCCCGACCUGGGGGCAGAGAACAUUUUGAUAAUGCAGGGUACAAUCGUCCUGGAGGAUCAGGGCGAAUAAUUUCAGGGUCUCGUGGAGAACAAGGAGGAGGCAGUGGGAGCAACAGCUGGGGAAAACCUGAAGCUGAAGAAUGGAACACAAGAGUAGGUUCUAAUCCAGAACCGGGUCCAGGUAGACAAGGGUUUGAUAUCGGAACUUGGGAGAAUCCAGCUGGAGGAGGAGGAGAAGAAGGAGGAUCUGAGCAUAGUAGUGGAGACCGGAAACCAACCUCCUGGUCAACUAAUGAUGGUACAAGCUCCUGGUCUACAGGUGAUGAUACCCAGUGGGGCACACAGAUGCAAAGGGAUCGGGGGCAAGGAUCUGACCGCAGUGGGGGAGAACAAACUGUUGAUAUUGGACAUUGGGGGGCACGGGAGUCAUCUGUCGCCCCUGAGAAAGAACAGUGGGGUACAAGGGAAACUUAUGCUACAAACGACAAGGGACAAUGGGGGGCUGGUGAUAUCACCGCUGCCCCUGACAAAGGACAGUGGGGCAUGGGUGAAACCUCAUCUGCUCCUGAGUUGGGGAAAUGGGGGAUGGGAGAAACUCCAACUGCACCUGACAAGACUCAAUGGGGACAAUCUGACAUCCCUGAUGUAGGAAACUGGGGGACGGGAGGAACUUCAGGUGCCCCUGAAAAAUCUCAAUGGAGAUCUACCGACACCUCUGAGAAGGUAGAUUGGAGGAAUGAGUCUGUAGACUCUGUCUCUCCAGGAUGGAAGAAGGAACCUGUAAGCAUGGGAAACUGGGCGGAUGAGGUUCCAAGCCCUAGAAGUGACCAGGAGGAAAACCCAAAUACCUCCUACGACGCUAGGAAAAUUGUCUGGUAGAAUUUGACAUAGGGCGUUUUUACAGUUUAAACCCCUGCAUAAAUAUUACACUCUGACAUAUCCCGCUAAUGAUGUUUAAUUGUUGAAUAUAAGAAAUGGAUAAAUUCUUACAAAUCCUGAAUUCAGGAAACGUAAACUUGUUAUUUUAAAUAGCUUAACCAAGAACAAUAACUACUCUUAAUUUUUUUUAGCCAUUUACAUUUUCUGCAUUACACUGUCGUUCUUGUUAUAUCAUAUUCUGACUUUACACCUAUAGUACAGUUUACUGCCUGUAUAAAAAAGAUCUGAAACCUCGAUAAAAUGAUUGUGUUAGACCAGUGUAAGGUCCUCGUUUAGUCGUAUUUGUAUCAUUGCUGUUACUGUUAUACUAUCGUUUUUCACCCUUUAGUCAAAUGUUCUUGUAUUUUUUACAUAAUUAAUAUUGUCUUUUAUAUGCUUGUAAUCUUAACCCAUACACCAUAUUUAUAAUGUAAAUCAUUACUGCAAAUUUAGUAAUUUUAUCCAACUAAGAAGUAUCUCCAAAAUUAGGUUUUAGGAGUGUAUGUUUUCGAGAAUUGAUCAAAUGAUUUACUUUAUUGGGUGAAAAUGAGAAAUCUUUUUAAAAUUGCAGACUUUUUUUCUUUUAGAUACACCAUCCAAAUUUGGUAGAACAAAUAUUUCCCGUGAAAGCCUACUCAAACAGUGGGUCGUAAACAGUAUUUUAAUGAGAGGGUGUUUAAUAAUGUUCAAAUAUAUUUCCCUGGUAGGGUAAUUUUCCGUUCCCCCCUAUUUCCCAAACCAAGGUACUCCCCCCCCCCCUUAUCUCCAAAGUGUGGUGGGUUGUCUUAAUUUAUUGCAAUAAUAUAAUGGAAUAUUUGUACUCAUGUAAGCUGAAUUUCUCUAAGAAUUUUCAUUCUCGCGUUAAUUUUGCUUCAUUUUUUAUCAUCAAAAUUUCAGCGUUUGUUCUAUGAUAUUGAAACUCACCUCCUUUCAUGCUACUCAAAUUUUUGAUGUCGUCUAUUUCAUUGACUUAAACCUCUAAAUCUUUGAUUGUGAAAAAAAUGGUCAUCUUCAAAGUUUAGGGGAAAUUCAGCCAAAAUAUUAUUCUUUAACGGCUUUGUUCAUAUUAUUGUUGCGGGCCCGACUUCAACUAUUUGAUGUUUCUUAUUUUCAAUUCUACCCGUGUGUGUUUGUUAAAGUAGUUGAUGUGGUUUAUAUAUCAUGCAUAUUAUAUAUUAACAAUUGAAACUAUCGCGCAAUUUUAGAUAAUUACCAUUUAGCAUUUAUAAUUUGAAUUUGCACUCUUUCUCAAGACAUUUGCCUUAUACAUACAUUUUACGAUUGAUUUUGCUCAAAUAUCCAAAGAAAGCAAUUAAGGGCAUUUUAUAAUUCGCUUUACCCUUUUUAUUUGUUCUUGUUCUAUUUAACUUUUUAGUUUUUACUUUUACUUCAUUUUUUAACGUAAUUUUUGGCCGUAUUUACAUGGUUAAAUAGUCGAUUGAUUUUAAGAUCUCCCUUGAAUUUUAUUAAAUUAUGAUCAAUUAGUUACUACCUUUGAUUGAUUAUUGGUGUAUUAGACAAUUGAAUCAUUUAUUGGAAUAAAUCGUACAUCAAUUAAUCAAAUAAGCUUAUUAAUUGGUCCUGAUCAAUUAGGUGCUUAAAAAAAAGAAAUCAACGAAUAUAACCAUAUGCUUAAUCUUAAUCAAUUUACGAUUUUUUAAUCUUGUUGAAUUCCUGCUUGAAGAAAUCAAAACUAAUCAAUUAUUAUCGUAUUUUGUAAAUGUGUAGAGUGUCGAUUGAUAAACCUAACCUGUACCAUCUAUAGUCGUACAUUGUUUGCUGUAUUUGUGCCAGGCAACAUUUUUGAUCUGUUUUUAAAAUGGACUUUAAACGUGUUUUCAAUUGACCUCCACGUAAUGUCAGAUUUACAACGGAGAGACUAUUUGCUUUGUAACAUCAUCAAAUACACUUGAUUAUUGCUUAAA